UCGGCGGUCAUCUGGCUCCCGGAGCUACGGGAGGCGAGUAGUUCUAUAGAGAGGAGUGGAUUACUUUGUCGUGCUCUUGGCCCUCCGAGGGGCAAUCUCGAGCCAUCCUCGCCCUGCCUCCUGGCUCAGUGAGGUCGCGCCCAUGAUGGAAGCUGAGAAUGGAUCCAGUCACAUGAAAGUGGGGAAAGAACUGCCACAGAAAGGAAGGCUCAACCCAGGCACUGGGGAGCCUCUGAAAAGUUCUGAGCAGAGAAGAUACUGGAUGAAACUACGUUGGUGACUGUGUGCUGGAUGGAUCAGAAGGGAACAAAGUUGUCAGGGAUGAACAAAGAAUAACAUAUAUGAGACUAAAAAUUUGGGGGACCCUCAGGAUUCUUGAUGGAGAA